rnacentral:tRNA from 1 species
GCCUGAGUGGCUCAGUCGGUUAAGCGUCAGACUUCAGCUCAGGUCAUGAUCUCACAGUCUGUGGGUUUGAGCCCCGCAUCGGGCU